AACGCAUCUUGCGCUCCUUGGUAUUCCGAGGAGCAUGCCUGUUUGAGUGUCAUUAAAUUCUCAACCUUACUAGCUUUUGCAAAGUAAGGCUUGGAUGUGAGGGUUUUUGCUGGCUUUGCAGUCGGCUCCCUUGAAAUAUAUUAGCGGUGCCCUGCUGACCAUCAGUGUGAUAAUAUCUACGCUGUUGGAAGGACUAGGAUUUUGUGCUGCUUCUAACCGUCCGAUCCUCGGACAAUAUAUGACAAUUUUGACCUCAAAUCAGGUAGGACUACCCGCUGAACUUAA
rnacentral:misc_RNA from 1 species